UACAGAGGUCCCAAGCGUUGUUCGGAUUCACUGGGCGUAAAGGGUGCGUAGGUGGUGGGGUAAGUCGGAUGUGAAAGCUCGGAGCUCAACUCCGAAAUGGCAUUGGAAACUACCCUGCUAGAGGAUUGGAGGGGGGACUGGAAUUCCGGGUGUAGCGGUGGAAUGCGUAGAGAUCCGGAAGAACACCAGUGGCGAAGGCGGCUCACUGGCCCGAUACUGACGCUGAGGCACGAAAGCGUGGGGAGCAAACAGG
rnacentral:rRNA from 1 species